rnacentral:rRNA from 1 species
CACAUGCAAGUCGAACGGUGACGCUAGAGCUUGCUCUGGUUGAUCAGUGGCGAACGGGUGAGUAACACGUGAGUAACCUGCCCUUGACUCUGGGAUAACUCCGGGAAACCGGGGCUAAUACCGGAUACGAGACGCGACCGCAUGGUCGGCGUCUGGAAAGUUUUUCGGUCAAGGAUGGACUCGCGGCCUAUCAGCUAGUUGGUGAGGUAACGGCUCACCAAGGCGUCGACGGGUAGCCGGCCUGAGAGGGCGACCGGCCACACUGGGACUGAGACACGGCCCANACUCCUACGGGAGGCAGCAGUGGGGAAUAUUGCACAAUGGGCGAAAGCCUGAUGCAGCGACGCCGCGUGAGGGAUGAAGGCCUUCGGGUUGUAAACCUCUUUCAGUAGGGAAGAAGCGAAAGUGACGGUACCUGCAGAAGAAGCGCCGGCUAACUAC